GAUGAACGCUGGCGGCGUGCUUAACACAUGCAAGUCGAACGAAACACCUUAUUUAAUUUUCUUCGGAACGGUCUAUUUGGGGAUGGAGUGGCGAACGGUUGGGUAACUCGUGGGUAACCUGGCCUAUACAGGGGGAUAACAUUCAGAAAUGACUUCUAAUCCCGCAUAAGACUGCAGCACCGCAUGGUGCAGUUGUGAAAAGUGUGGUGGUAGAGGAUGGACCCGCGUCGGAUUGGCUGGUUGGUGAGGUAACGGCACACCAAGGCGACGAUCAGUAGCCGGUUUGAGAGGGUGAACAGCCACACUGGGACUGAGACACGGCCCAAACUCCUACGGGAGGCAGCAGUGGGGAAUAUUGCACAAUGGGGGAAAGCCUGACGCAGCGACGCCGCGUGAGUGAAGAAGUCUUUCGGUAUGUAAAGCUCUAUCAGCAGGGACGAAACUGACGGUACCUGCAGAAGAAGCACCGGCUAACUACGUG
rnacentral:rRNA from 1 species